rnacentral:misc_RNA from 1 species
UAAUCAAAAGUAAAUUAAAAAAAAUAAAAAAGCUGAAUGUACAAUAAAAGCAGGCAUAAAUCUGAGAGUUGGGUCACAAUCAAACAAAAUUAUACCCAACCUAAGCUUCAACUAUGAAAAAUUUAAAAUAAUCUUUCAUUUUCUUUCAAGAAAACAAUCCAUCCCAUAACUGAGUUUCAAUUCAAGCCUCCAAUUGUUAAAUUAAAACAUAAACAAACCCAAAGAAACAAGUGCAAGAAAUUAAUUCAGGCUAUUACUAUUCAGAAAGAAAUAAGCAAAGCAAAUAGAUCGAGAAAAACUUACCAAAAACACUAGAUCUAUGGAUUAGAAUAGCGCAAACGCGAAAUUAAACAAAAGCCCUCAUCGAUCGGCACAAAUUUACAGAAAUAGACAACAAAAAAUGAACCGUAGAUGCUUCUUCUAGGGAAGAAAUAAUAAUCUUAGAUCUACACAAAACCAAUUAAAAAAAAAAAUCCAAAAGAAGACCCGAUUCUUUUGCAGCAGAUUAUAAAGAAGUAAGGGGAGAUGUGAGGAUCAAAGAGAUUCGUACCUAAAUCGGUACUCGCUCACACGAGAUCUGAAAUUUCGCAGAAAGUCUCAAACGCGGAUUACAGGUUGCUUGGUUGAAGAUUUCGACUCUAUAGUCGUUGAUAUUUUCCAUCAACAACAAAACAAAAUCAUAGAUGUCUGGUGUUGAUUUAUGGAUGAAGGGAUGCUGGAGUCACUGGCUGUUAUGAAGAAUUUGUCACAGAUAUUACACGUGGGAUAGAAAGAAU